rnacentral:rRNA from 1 species
GUUGAUCCUGGCUCAGGAUGAACGCUGGCGGUCUGCUUAACACAUGCAAGUCGAACGCAACCUUCGGGUUGAGUGGCGGACGGGUGAGUAACGCGUGAGAAUCUGCCUUGGGGUCGGGGACAACCACUGGAAACGGUGGCUAAUACCGGAUAAGCCUUUGGGUAAAAGAUUUAUUGCCCCAAGAGGAGCUCGCGUCUGAUUAGCUAGUUGGUGAGGUAAGAGCUCACCAAGGCAGCGAUCAGUAGCUGGUCUGAGAGGACGAUCAGCCACACUGGGACUGAGACACGGCCCAGACUCCUACGGGAGGCAGCAGUGGGGAAUUUUCCGCAAUGGGCGAAAGCCUGACGGAGCAAGACCGCGUGAGGGAGGAAGGCUCUUGGGUUGUAAACCUCUUUUCUCAGGGAAGAAGCUCUGACGGUACCUGAGGAAUCAGCCUCGGCUAACUCCGUGCCAGCAGCCGCGGUAAUACGGAGGAGGCAAGCGUUAUCCGGAAUUAUUGGGCGUAAAGCGUCCGCAGGUGGCGAUUCAAGUCUGCUGUCAAAGCACGGGGCUUAACUCCGUUAAGGCAGUGGAAACUGAAUAGCUAGAGUGCCGUAGGGGUAGAGGGAAUUCCCGGUGUAGCGGUGAAAUGCGUAGAGAUCGGGAAGAACAUCGGUGGCGAAAGCGCUCUACUGGACGGCAACUGACACUCAGGGACGAAAGCUAGGGGAGCGAAUGGGAUUAGAUACCCCAGUAGUCCUAGCUGUAAACGAUGGAUACUAGGUGUAGCUUGUAUCGACCCGAGCUGUGCCGAAGCUAACGCGUUAAGUAUCCCGCCUGGGGAGUACGCACGCAAGUGUGAAACACAAAGGACUUGACGGGGGCCCGCACAAGCGGUGGAGU